rnacentral:rRNA from 1 species
UCAAUGCUGGAAGGCUUGGAUAUCGAAAGCGCAAGCGCCAGAGGGUGAGUCUGCGGCCUAUCAGGUAGUAGGUGGUGUAACGGACCACCUAGCCUAAGACGGGUACGGGCCUUGAGAGAGGGAGCCCGGAGAUGGGUUCUGAGACACGAACCCAGGCCCUACGGGGCGCAGCAGGCGCGAAACCUUCGCACUGCGCGAAAGCGCGACGAGGGGAGCCCGAGUGCCUCUCCAUUUCGGGGAGGCUUUUCACAAGCCUAAAAAGCUUGUGGAAUAAGGGCUGGGCAAGACGGGUGCCAGCCGCCGCGGUAAUACCCGCAGCUCGAGUGGUGGUCGCUUUUAUUGAGCCUAAAACGUUCGUAGUCGGCCUUGUAAAUCCCUGGGUAAAUCGGACCGCUUAACGGUUCGAAUUCCGGGGAGACUGCAAGGCUAGGGACCGGGCGAGGUCAGAGGUACUUUCGGGGUAGGAGUGAAAUCCUGUAAUCCCGAAGGGACCACCUGUGGCGAAAGCGUCUGACUUGAACGGCUCCGACGAUGAGGAACGAAGGCUAGGGGAGCAAACCGGAUUAGAUACCCGGGUAGUCCUAGCUGUAAACUCUGCCCGCUUGGUGUGGCCUGUCCUUCGGGGGCAGGCUGUGCCGGAGCGAAGGUGUUAAGCGGGCUGCUUGGGGAGUACGGCCGCAAGGUUGAAACUUAAAGGAAUUGGCGGGGGAGCACCACAAGGGGUGAAGCCUGCGGUUUAAUGGAGUCAACGCCGG